AUUGAACGCUGGCGGCAGGCCUAACACAUGCAAGUCGAGCGGAUGAAGGGAGCUUGCUCCUGGAUUCAGCGGCGGACGGGUGAGUAAUUCCUAGGAAUCUGCCUGGUAGUGGGGGAUAACGUCCGGAAACGGGCGCUAAUACCGCAUACGUCCUGAGGGAGAAAGUGGGGGAUCUUCGGACCUCACGCUAUCAGAUGAGCCUAGGUCGGAUUAGCUAGUUGGUGGGGUAAAGGCCUACCAAGGCGACGAUCCGUAACUGGUCUGAGAGGAUGAUCAGUCACACUGGAACUGAGACACGGUCCAGACUCCUACGGGAGGCAGCAGUGGGGAAUAUUGGACAAUGGGCGAAAGCCUGAUCCAGCCAUGCCGCGUGUGUGAAGAAGGUCUUCGGAUUGUAAAGCACUUUAAGUUGGGAGGAAGGGCAGUAAGUUAAUACCUUGCUGUUUUGACGUUACCAGCAGAAUAAGCACCGGCUAACUUCGUG
rnacentral:rRNA from 1 species